rnacentral:rRNA from 1 species
UACGGAGGGAGCUAGCGUUGUUCGGAAUUACUGGGCGUAAAGGGCGCGUAGGCGGUGUGUCAAGUCAGGCGUGAAAGCCCCGGGCUCAACCUGGGAACCGCGCUUGAGACUGGCACGCUCGAGUUCGGGAGAGGAUGGUGGAAUUCCCAGUGUAGAGGUGAAAUUCGUAGAUAUUGGGAAGAACACCGAUGGCGAAGGCAGCCAUCUGGACCGACACUGACGCUGAGGCGCGAAAGCGUGGGGAGCAAACAGG